rnacentral:rRNA from 1 species
UACGGAGGGUGCAAGCGUUAUCCGGAUUCACUGGGUUUAAAGGGUGCGUAGGUGGGUCUGUAAGUCCGUGGUGAAAUCUCCGAGCUUAACUUGGAAACUGCCAUGGAUACUAUAGGUCUUGAAUAUUGUGGAGGUCAGCGGAAUAUGUCAUGUAGCGGUGAAAUGCUUAGAUAUGACAUAGAACACCAAUUGCGAAGGCAGCUGGCUACGCAUAUAUAGACACUGAGGCACGAAAGCGUGGGGAUCAAACAGG